ACCAACAGGGAUUGCCUCAGUAGCGGCGAGUGAAGCGGCAAGAGCUCAGGAUUUGAAAUCGUGCUUUGCGGCACGAGUUGUAGAUUGCAGGUUGGAGUCUGUGUGGAAGGCGGUGUCCAAGUCCCUUGGAACAGGGCGCCCAGGAGGGUGAGAGCCCCGUGGGAUGCCGGCGGAAGCAGUGAGGCCCUUCUGACGAGUCGAGUUGUUUGGGAAUGCAGCUCCAAGCGGGUGGUAAAUUCCAUCUAAGGCUAAAUACUGGCGAGAGACCGAUAGCGAACAAGUACUGUGAAGGAAAGAUGAAAAGCACUUUGAAAAGAGAGUGAAACAGCACGUGAAAUUGUUGAAAGGGAAGGGUAUUGCGCCCGACAUGGGGAUUGCGCACCGCUGCCUCUCGUGGGCGCGCUCUGGGCUUUCCCUGGGCCAGCAUCGGUUCUUGCUGCAGGAGAAGGGGUUUCUGGAACGUGGCUCUUCGGAGUGUUAUAGCCAGGG
rnacentral:rRNA from 1 species